GCUGCUUCUGUGACUUCCACCGUCGGCAGCUGGUCAACAGAACUGUAUUUAUUUGAACAUAGCUGGCAUAAAUCGGGAACAUUGAUAUGUUUGGUUCUCAGCCGAUCACAAGUAGGAAGAGAGGAGGAACAAAGCUGCCAAAAGAAAGUCUUUAGCUUUGGAGGGAGUUUGAAUUUCCAGAAUCUGGUCCAAAUUGGGACUUGGACAGAACUGAAAUCACCUGCAAGAGUAUUAUAGCAACUACGCACAGUGUUGGAUAAGGGCAGCAACUUUAGUGAUUCCAGAUUGAAUGGGUGCAAGGGGCUGAAUGAAUGGUUGGUUCUUGUUUGGCAUAGAUGUCAACCUUUAUGCAUUGGUGUUUGAUGAAUCUGUUUUAAAUGAUGCAGUAAGUGAGGAGUUUGGUAAUUCUCUUUGCUAAUUAGCUUCUUUUUUUAAAAAAAUGUUUUUGUGUUGCACAACUGGAAGAUGGAAAUUUCUCUAUACAGGUCAGUUUAGUUGAAAUGCUUUUCUAAUUAGACUAAUGUAGGAGAUCUGGCCAAAGUGGUUAGAGAUACGCAGUUAUCUAUUUAUUUGUGCAUAUUUUUUGAAAUGUAGGAGAUCUCCUCGGUCCUCUCCUAGUAACCAGGACAGAGCUGGACCAUCUGAUUUUCAGUAUUUCUCUGAAUCCUUAAGUAGUUUAGAUGGUGAUCUUGAAAGAGUGAAAACUGGAUUUAGAAAAAAGAAGAAAUGGCAUGCUUCAGAUGAUGAUUUUUCCUCAGGUUCAGCUUAGGCCUGCAGACAGUGUAGAGAAGGCUUCUAAAACUGCUGAGAUAAACCCGAGGAAAAUCAAGAUGAGGAGACUAGAAAAGUAAAUCCAAGAGAACUCAACCCAUAUUUGAAGGAUAAACGCUUUAAAGCGAGUUAAAGAGCAAGCUGCUCUCGAAGGACGAAAGUUGGAUGAGGUAGUUGAAGAAUUGUGGGGUUCAUUGAGUCAACUAGCUGUUUCUGUUGCAUCCCGCAAAGUUGCCCCAAACCAUGCUCAUCUUCAUGCCAUCAAAAGUAGAAGGGGUGUAAUGGGAGAGUGAUCUGUUGAGAAGGUAAUUCUCUAAAUUAACUACUUUAGUCACCUUAAUUCUAUGUCAUAUGUGUGUUUUGUCUUAAUGUAUUCUAAUGUUUUAUUGAUUCUUGUUUCUUCCAACUCCCAUACUUCGUAUAAGCAUUGUCCUUAAAAUCUCUAGAUUCAAUUUUUUUUUAAUAAAUAAUUGUUGACUCUGGGUUGUUUGAUUGGAAGUUUUCUAACUUUAAUGACUUUCUAUACUAUGAGGAUUAUUGGGUUUUUGUCUUGUGACCUUAAAAUAGUUGAAUUUUGAUGGGUGUCUAAGUUUUCAAUCUGUAUUAGGCUGGUUUGGUGCACAGCGUUCAUUU